UGUUUGAUUAUUUGUGGAUUUAUCUGCUACCGAGAGUUCAUAUGCAGAGUUUUGUGUUGUAGUUACGGUGUACACCCAGUGCACAACUGUAGGCCUCUGCUAACCUGCUAGCUAAUGUCAUUGUGUUGAAAUAGUUUAGCUAAUCAUCUGUGGACCCACUUUUACCAACAAUUGUGUAGAAUUAUGCAGAUUGUUUGUUGUUCUUACUUUCAUGAAUAGUGAUCAAGUGUGGAGAUUUAUUUUUUACAAAUGAUAAUUUUACAUCUGCAAUCCACGGUAGUGCUCGGUUAACUUGCUAUGUAAUGUUAUUGUUUUGGUCAGGGUUUACUAUUCAGCUGUGGGCCGGUGUCCUGAAAAUAUAUGCUACCUAUCAGGAUGAGCUACCAACGUUAUAGUCACAUAGUUUUAAGGUUAGGGUUAGGGCUUAGUACAGCCUCACACCAUAUCACACUACAUGAUAGUAAUGCUGGUAGCACAUCCUGAUAGGUAUUAUCUGCCUGACAAGAUGUGCAACCUAGGUUUAACACAUUUCAUGCUGUUGUAGUACACACUGACAGGUUCUCCAAUGCCUCCCGGCAUGUGCUACCCAUGUUGUAACUUUACAUAUCACUGUUUUUACUGCUGGUAGCACAUCCUGAGCAGGUAGCACAUUGUCAGAACACUGGCUUUUACCUAAAACCGUGUAACAAAAUGGUCGAUCUCAAGAGUCUCAUAUAAUUAUAUAAUUACAAGCUGUAAUGGUAUGGCUGCUAUGCAUGGUAGUCCACUGCUAACUUGUUCACUAACUCUCUAAUACCCCACGGUAAUGUCCAACCGGGAGCAAGCCUCUGUUCUCCGUUCAAAUCUCUGGCGAAAAAAGUUUGGCUGCACCCAUUCCAGCAAAAGAUGACUAACUUAGAUGCACUACAUGUCUUUUACUUGAAGCUUUGUUAGGUUUACAAUAAUCAACAGUGUACUUGUAAGAAAGCUACUAAAUUAAAACUUACCACUGUGAAACGUCGUGCUCAAGUCGUGCUUGCGAAGGUGGUUCGGGUGGAUCAGCUUGUUCUUCCAAACUUUCAUUAUCGGAUUCAAACUGCUAUGGUAAAAACUGACGACUGUUACCGUAGUUACAAUAGUGUUUACAGCUGCUCAGGAAGCCUGAAACUUGGUUAUGGUGGCCUUACAUUUCCAACACAUGCUCUAUGCAAUCACAACAGACUGUACCAGCUGACCAAUCAGAGCAGACUGAGCUUUUAGGAAAAGGGGGAUUUAAAGAGACAGGAGCUACAACAGAGCGUUUCAGACCCAAAGUGAAAAGAGGUGCUGCAGCAAUGUACAGUAUGAGAAAAUUAAUGUGUUUUUUGAACAAUAAAGCAUGUAAACCUAUUCUAGCAGACCCCCAACAUAAAAUUAUGAACCUGUAAAUUAGCAUAAUAUGGGCUCUUUAAGAAAAAAAAAAGCACUUACUCAUGUUCACAGUUACUAGGCCUUUGACGAUAUUGUUGAAAGACUCUUGGAAUAGCAUGAACUCAUGACUAUUAUAAGAAGUUAGUGUUUUUUUAACAUCAUGUAAAAAGUAAUAUUUGAUUACCAUUUUGUUUAAUUAACAUCAACAUGUACAAUUUACAAAUAAUUUUAAAAUAAAAUAAGUUACUUUGAAAUGGUUCUCUUUAUCUCAGUUGUUAAAUUGAUAAUCAUGUUUAAAUGGUGUACAUGUUGGAAUCUGAAUAAAAGAAUAACUAUGAAAUAUUAAAUUGCUUAAACAUUAAUAAUUGCAAAUCAUUAAUCAUAACGAGGAGUCUAAAGUUUAAAAAUGUAUAAAACAUACAAAAUUUACGUUUUAAACAUGAUAGUUUGUUAUAUGAUUGAUGUAAAAAGAUCUUUGUCCCCAUGUGCACUUGCAAACUGUAGUCUGGCUUUUUUAUGGUGGUUUUGGAGCAGUGGCUUCCUCCUUGCUGAGCAGCCUUUCAGGUUAUGUUGAUAUAGGACUCAUUUUAUUGUGGAUCUAGAUACUUGUCUACCUGUUUCCUCCAGCAUCUUCACAAGGUCCUUUGCUGUUGUUCUGGGAUUGAUUUUCACUUUUCGCACCAAACUAUGUUCAUCUCUAGGAGACAGAAUGCAUCUCUGUGAUGAAGAGGAGGGCCGGGCCGGGCCGUGACUAUGCACAACUGGCCCCCAAUCGGGCUAAUCAGCCGAGGAGAGGGAUAAGUGCAGCAGGAUGUGGCAGUUCGAGAGAGAGAGAGCCACAUUAAUUUACAUCAUCUCUACAAAUUUUCUUACAUUCUGAUCCUAGAAACUUCUCCAGAAACUGUAUCUGACUAUGUGACAUUGGUAAUCAUGAAGACAUUACAUUUAUUAUCAUUUCUAAUUCUACAGUAAAGUCAAUUGGCUAUGUACUAUAAUUAAAACUUAGUAACAUGUAUCUAUAACUAUAAACAUUCUUGGAGUAAAAGAUGAUUAUCCUCCACCUUUUAUUAAUGUACUUAUUUCUCUGCAAAACUCAAUGCUGAUGAGAGGAGAAAAGCAAACAAUGGCAUGGAAUACACACAUCCUAGAACAUGUGUUUACUUUCAUUCUCAUCUCCAGGAUCAUACUUUUCUUCUUUGUCAUCCUCUUCCAAAGCUUCAAAUAAUUUCUUAGCUUCUUCAAGGGAGCGGUUUUUCAAUUUGAUAGAUCAAGUGUAUCUAUUUCACAACAAGUAAUGCUUUCUUUUAGCCUUCUUUUAGGGAAAUCAAGGACAGUAUCAAUGAGAAAGGUGAGGCUAACAUGAUCCCAGACAUAAAACUGUUCUGAAUAAACCAUUUCUGUUGUAGCCAUUUUGCUCUCAUGAUGUUUUACCAGCUCAUAGUGGUGUGUUUCACAAAUGGCUUGUGCUUUCCAGAUGAUUUUAUCUUUCUCAUAAGUAAUGAAUGAGCUGGAUGUGAGCUCUGGAAAAUCUUGAAUUUUCUGAUUCAUCUCAGGACUGUGAACGAGAACAACAUACACAAUCUCCUUCUUGUAAAUGAUGGUCUUAAAGACUCCGAGAACUGAAUCUUGUCCCUUACAGAUCUGUUUUCUGUAUGUGUCCAUCAGCUCAGUCACAGGAAAUGUAAAGCGAAAGUUUCCAAAGCGUGAUCUGUCAUUUAGGAAAGUGGGUGAUGUGGUGAAUAAAUAUAGGAAUUUCUGCUGACUUGCUCUGUGUUCUGAGGUUCUGUUUGGGAACGUUUUCUCUAGAUUUUCUCUAGUUAUGUUCUCUUCAUUAAUCUGUAGGCUCCACCAGGAGAGUGAAUUUUCAUCAAGACCCCUGAAUCCCUCCGACUCCCAAAUCUUUGGAAGGUUUGUCUUGUUAGUGACAUGAGUCACCUCUGUGAUGUGAAAUUCAACUGGGGUUGGAUACACCGGAAUUAUUUUUGACAGAUAUGUAAACAUCGGUUCUUUUUUUAUACCACCUGUCUUUUUCAGGUCUUCUAUACUAAUGUGUUUUCCUUUAAGGUACAACUAUUUUCUGUUGCGUGAGGGGAGCAAUCUGUCAUGUCAGUUGCCCAUGUAUGCCCAGGAUAAAGUAUGACAAAUUGUAAGAUUUGUAUAGCUGGCAAAAGUUAAAGUCUAACUAAAUAUGUUAAACAGACAUCGUUUUUCCCCUAUAAGGAUCACAACACCGCCGUUUCAGCACAGCCGAGUUCUCAAAAUAUUUUCAAAAGAUACAGCCAUCGGAUUGAGGGAAGGAGGAACACAACUGUCUGAUCUAGUCACUAAGCAUUACUUCACUAAUGCAGUUAACAGCAUCAGAGUCUCACAAUUGCUCAUAACAGAAUGCACAAAUAAAGUAUACAUUGAUUUGUAAGCUCACAAUACAGUACACAGAAUCACACUGGUCAUUUUAUAUCUGUAAUUUAAUGCACAAGUAAAUGCCAAAACACUCAUGUUAAUAAAUGUGUGCUGCACGAACAUUUCAAAGAUUUUGGCAAAGAUUGAAAGACUAUCCUGUCCCUCUGUCAGCAGCAUGCGGUGGUAUGAGCUCUGUCAAAUGACACCGAAGUUGUGUCCGAAACUGCCCCCUAUCCACUAAAUUGUGCACCAUUUUGGCCAUUUUGUAGUUGUGUCCGAAUUCAUUCCCUACAUCUUAUUCCCUACAUUUGUUCACUCAUUCUUACCCACAAUGCAAUCUGAUUUCGAGGGUACAUACAAUGUACACUCUCCGACCCCAAUUUCCCAUAAUCCAAAGCGGAGACGGUGGGAAAUGGCGGACGCAAACACCGGAGGCUUCAACUUUUACAAAUGUAAGUAACUAUUUUAUUAAUAAAAAAAUACAUCUGUAUCAAGAUAUAACGAAGUAAAAUUAUACAUAUUGAUGGACUAAUUUAUGAUUGGCCACUAACUCCGCUUAAAUGCAAUUUUUGACUCGUAACUAGCAAGGGUAAUUUUUACGGUUGAGAUUUCACGCUGCAAAUGAUUUGUUGGAUUGUUCACGUAUAUUAUCACAUGUAACUACUGUAUUCGCAUACACUUUAGAAAAUAAUGUACCGAAGAUGUUAUAUUGUUUUAGGGACGGAUGAAGACGUAACGCGUCUCAUAAUGAGCAGCCCAGCUUGGAUGGGAAACUGUACUGAAAGAGAUGGGUUUGCUUGGUGUGGUAACCGCUGCCAAAAAGUGGGAAAACCUGAAGAAAACAUACAAGGAAGCCAUGCACCCUCAUGGACUGCACCAGAUUUGCCAGUUCUUGCUGUGAGAUGUUACCCCACUCUUCCACCAAGACACUUGCAAGUUCCUGGACAUUUCUGGGGGGAAUGGUCCUAGCCCUCACCCUCCGAUCCAACAGGCCCCAGAUGUGCUCAAUGGGAUUGAGAUCCGGGCUCUUCGCUGGUCAUGGCAGAACACUGACAUUGCUGUCUUACAUGAAAUCACACACAGAAUGAGCAGUAUGGCUGGUGACAUUGUCAUGCUGGAGGGUCAUGUCAUGAUGAGCCUGCAGGAAGGGUACCACAUGAGGGAGGAGGAUGUCUUCCCUGUAAUGCACAGCGUUGAGAUUGCAGUGACAACAAGCUCAGUCCAAUGAUGCUGUGACACAUCGCCCCAGACCAUGACGGACCCUCCACCUCCAAAUCGAUCCCGCUCCAGAUUAUAGGCCUCGUGUAACGCUCAUUCCUUUGACGAUAAAUGUGAGUCUGACCAUCACCCCUGGUGAGACAAAACCACGACUCAUCAGUGAAGAGCACUUUUUGCCAGUCCUGUCUGGUCCAGCGAAGGUGGGUUUGUGCCCAUAGGCAAUGUUGUUGCCAGUGAUGUCUGGUAAGAACCUGCCUUACAAGCCCUCAGUCCAGCCUCUCUCAGCCUAUUGCGGACAGUCUGAGCACUGAUGGAGGGAUUGUGCGUUCCUGGUGUAACUCGGGCAGUUGUUGUUGCCAUCCUUUACCUGUCCCGCAGGUGUGAUAUUCGGCUGUACCGAUCCUGUGCAGGUGUUGUUACACAUGGUCUGCCACUGCGAGUACAAUCAGCUGUCCUUCCUGUCUCCCUGUAGCGCUGUCUUAGGCAUCUCACAGUACUAACAUUGCAAUUUAUUGCCCUGGCCACAUCUGCAGUCCUCAUGCCUCCAUGCAGCAUGCCUAAGGCACAUUCACGCAGAUGAGCAGGGACCCUGGGCAUCUUUCUUUUGGUGUUUUUCAGAGUCAGUAGAAGGGUCUCUUUAGUGUCCUAAGUUUUUAUAACUGUGACCUUAUUUGCCCACCAUCUGUAAGCUGUUAGUGUCUUAAUGACUGUUCCACAGGUGCAUGUUCAUUGUUUAUGGUUGAUUGAACAAGCAUGGAAAACAUUGUUUAAACCCUUUACAAUAAAGAUCUGUAAAGUUAUUUGGAUUUUUACAAAAUUAUCUUUAAAAUACAGUGUCCUGAAAAAGGGACAUUUCUUUUUUUGCUGAGUUAAAUAUAUAUAUAUAUACACACAUACAUAC